rnacentral:rRNA from 1 species
CCUACGGGUGGCAGCAGUGAGGAAUAUUGGUCAAUGGACGCGAGUCUGAACCAGCCAUGCAGCGUGCAGGAUGACUGCCCUACGAGUUGUAAACUUCUUUUAUAAAGGAAUAAAUCGAGGUACGUGUGCCUGGUUGAAAGUAUCGUACGAAUAAGGAUCGGCUAACUCCGUGCCAGCAGCCGCGGUAAUACGGAGGAUUCAAGCGUUAUCCGGAUUUAUUGGGUUUAAAGGGUGCGUAGGCGGGUCGAUAAGUUAGUGGUGAAAUCCCGCGGCUCAACCGCGGAAAUGCCUCUGAUACUGUCGGUCUUGAGUACAGUUGAGGUAGGCGGAAUUCAUGGUGUAGCGGUGAAAUGCAUAGAGAUCACACAGAACACCGAUUGCGAAGGCAGCUUACUAAACUGCCACUGACAUUGAUGCACGAAAGUGUGGGGAGCAAACAGGAUUAGAUACCCGUGUAGUC